rfam:Eucalyptus grandis cultivar BRASTZ1 unplaced genomic scaffold scaffold_9, whole genome shotgun sequence.
CUUCUGCAGUGAUGAAUUAUGUAAAGAGUAAUACACAUGUCAGACUUCAGAGAUUUUCAUCGAUGAGAACACACACUCAACACUCUGAGCAGAAG